CGCGGCUCCGCCGGCGUCCGACAGCCGCUCCCAGCGCCGCUUCAGUCAGUCGGCUCCCUGCCCCGCCCCUGCCCCCGCACGCCCCGCCCCCGGCACCACCAGCGCGCGCGCGUUGGCGUGCGUGUCGCGUCACUUCCGUGACGCUUCGGAUUUCCGGGGUUUCGAGGCUGCCGGCCGGAAAAGCUUCUGCUUGCACUAGCCUGAGGGCGACCAGAAGCCCCGAGGAUGAGCAGGAAUAGGUCGUCAGAAAAGAGGUCGGAGGGAGAGAGAACGCAUGGCUGCCGGACGGUAAAGAGAGAUAACAAUCCCACUUGACAGUUGAGAAGCCACCUCACCGCCUUUGUUAUCUCCCCGGGCCAAGAACCAUCCGGAUGGAGGAGAUAAAGAGGAAGAAUGAAUAGAGAAAGAAAAAAAGAGAGCCCAUGAGCCCUGCAAAUGAUCAACCCUGAACUAUUAGACAGUCUCCUAGCUCUGGAAAAACCACCCUUCCUGAAUGCUUUUUUCUGUCUCAAUUAAUGCCUGUCUUCACCUUU